UUCCCAAGGCCGCCCAUUCCGA
rnacentral:miRNA from 1 species